rnacentral:rRNA from 1 species
AGGACGAACGCUGGCGGCGUGCCUAACGACAUGCAAGUCGAGCGGAGUUAACAAGAGGAAGUUUCGGAUGGAAUUUGUUAAUUAGCGGCGGACGGGUGAGUAACGCGUGAGCGACCAACCUUGCACAGGGGAUAACGGACCGAAAGGUUCACUAAUACCGCAUGAGACCACGGUGUGCAUGACACAGAGGUCAAAGGAGCAAUCCGGUGCAAGACGGGCUCGCGUCCGAUUAGGUAGUUGGUGGGGUAAUGGCCCACCAAGCCUAUGAUCGGUAGCCGACCUGAGAGGGUGAUCGGCCACAUUGGAACUGGGAUACGGUCCAAACUCCUACGGGAGGCAGCAGUGGGGAAUAUUGGGCAAUUGGGGGGAAACCCUGACCCAGCAACGCCGCGUGAAGGAAGAAGGUUUUCGGAUUGUAAACUUCUGUCCUUGGUGAAGAGAAGAAGACGGUAGCCAAGGAGGAAGCCCCGGCUAACUACGUGCCAGCCGCCGC